rfam:Nicotiana attenuata strain TT chromosome 11, whole genome shotgun sequence.
AAGAGAAGAGCAUGUUAAGAUAGCCAAGAAGGCUGCCUGAAACCAAGUAAAAAUAGUGUAAUCAAACACCUUUUAACAUAGUGGAGCAGGCAAGUCAUCCUUGGCUACUAAACAAUAUGACUCUCCUCU